rnacentral:rRNA from 1 species
UGGAGGACCGAACCGGUAAACGUUGAAAAGUUUUCGGAUGACCUGUGGGUAGGGGUGAAAGGCCAAUCAAACUUGGAGAUAGCUCGUACUCCCCGAAAUGCAUUUAGGUGCAGCGUCGGGUUGAGGUGUCAUGGAGGUAGAGCUACCAAUAGGGCUAGGGGGCUUCACCGCCUACCAACCCCUGAUGAACUCCGAAUGCCAUGACAUCAUACCGGCAGUGAGGCUACGGGUGCUAAGGUCCGUAGCCGAGAGGGGAACAACCCAGACCAACAGCUAAGGUCCCCAAAUAGAUAUUAAGUUGAUUUUAACGAUGUGAGGAUGCAGUGACAGCUAGGAUGUUUGCUUGGAAGCAGCAAUUCAUUUAAAGAGUGCGUAACAGCUCACUAGUCGAGCGUUCUUGCGCGGAAAAUAAUCGGGCAUCAAAUAUCUUACCGAAGCUUUGGAUACCAGUCUAGGACUGGUGGUGGUAGGGGAGCAUUCUAAACUGCAGUGAAGGUGUGUCGUGAGAUGCGCUGGAGUGUUUAGAAAAGCAAAUGUAGGAAUGAGUAACGAUAAAAUAGGUGAGAAACCUAUUCGCCGUAAGACUAAGGAUUCCGGGAUCUAUGUUAAUCAGAACCGGGUUAGUCGGGGCCUAAGGUGUAGCCGAAGGGCGAAGCCGAUGGGAAACAGGUUAAUAUUCCUGUACAUGUAUCAGCUGUGAUGGGGUGACGAAGGAGCGUAAGGUUCGCCCACUGACGGAAUAGUGGGUUGAAGGGAGAAGGCGUUGAAGAUAUAGGCAAAUCCGUAUCUGAGCUGAGACCUGAUAGUACACAAGUCCCUUGGGAUGAGUGAUAGUGACUGUAAGCAUACUUCCAAGAAAAACCUCUAAACUUCAGGCUGACACAUCCCGUACCGUAAACCGACACAGGUAGUCGAGGAGAGUAUCCUAAGGCGCUCGAGUGAUCCGUGGCUAAGGAACUAGGCAAAAUGGUCUCGUAACUUCGGGAGAAGAGACUCCCCUCGUGAGAGGGGACGCAGUGAAGAGGCCCAGGCGACUGUUUAACAAAAACACAGGACUCUGCAAAAUCGUAAGAUGAAGUAUAGGGUCUGACACCUGCCCGGUGCUGGAAGGUUAAGGAAGGGGGUUAGUGCGUAAGUGCGAAGCUCUUAACUGAAGCCCCAGUAAACGGCGGCCGUAACUAUAACGGUCCUAAGGUAGCGAAAUUCCUUGUCGGGUAAGUUCCGACCUGCACGAAUGGUGUAACGAUCUGGGCACUGUCUCAGCCAUGAGCUCGGUGAAAUUGUAGUAUCGGUGAAGAUGCCGAUUACCCGCAACGGGACGGAAAGACCCCGUGAACCUUUACUACAACUUCACAUUGAGCUUGAAUACAGGAUGUGUAGGAUAGGUGGGAGGCUACGAAGCUGUGACGCUAGUCAUGGUGGAGCCAACGUUGAAAUACCACCCUUCCUGUAUUUAGGUUCUAAUCCCUAAAAGGGAAACAGUGUGUGGUGGGUAGUUUGACUGGGGUGGUCGCCUCCAAAAAAGUAACGGAGGCUCGCAAAGGUACACUCAGCAUGGUCGGUAAUCAUGCGAAGAGCGUAUUAGUAUAAGUGUGCUUGACUGAGAGACCGACGGGUCGAUCAGGAACGAAAGUUGGCUAAAGUGAUCCGGUGUUUCCGCAUGGAAGGGACAUCGCUCAAAGGAUAAAAGGUACUCCGGGGAUAACAGGCUGAUC